rnacentral:rRNA from 1 species
GAUGGACGCUGGCGGCGUGCCUAAUACAUGCAAGUCGAGCGAACGGACGAGAAGCUUGCUUCUCUGAUGUUAGCGGCGGACGGGUGAGUAACACGUGGAUAACCUACCUAUAAGACUGGGAUAACUUCGGGAAACCGGAGCUAAUACCGGAUGAUAUUUUGAACCGCAUGGUUCAAAAGUGAAAGACGGUCUUGCUGUCACUUAUAGAUGGAUCCGCGCUGCAUUAGCUAGUUGGUAAGGUAACGGCUUACCAAGGCAACGAUGCAUAGCCGACCUGAGAGGGUGAUCGGCCACACUGGAACUGAGACACGGUCCAGACUCCUACGGGAGGCAGCAGUAGGGAAUCUUCCGCAAUGGGCGAAAGCCUGACGGAGCAACGCCGCGUGAGUGAUGAAGGUCUUCGGAUCGUAAAACUCUGUUAUUAGGGAAGAACAUAUGUGUAAGUAACUGUGCACAUCUUGACGGUACCUAAUCAAAAAGCCACGGCUAACUACGUG